AUAAAGUUUUAUUCUUGCUUAAAAAUUUAUUAUUAAUUUAUUUUACAUGUAAAUUUUUGUGUGAAUUAUAUUAUAUUUUAAAAGUAUAAUAUUUUUAAUUUAUUAUUCGCAGUAAUUAAUAUUAUAAAUUUAAAGAAAUUUAGAAAUAGUAAUUUUAUUUAGUAUUAACAAAUUUUGUGCCAGCAGUUGCGGUUAUACAAAAAAUAUAAAUAAAUUUUAUUAGAUGUAGUUAAAUGUAUUAAUUUUAAAUUAAAAAUAAAUUUAUUAGGUGAAAUUUUAAAUUUAUAAUAAUUUAAUUUAUUAAAUAAAUUGAAGCUAAGAAAUUUUAGUUAUAAACUAGGAUUAGAUACCCUAUUAUUUAAAAUAUAAUUAGAAAGUCUUGAGUAGUAAUAGUUAUGGUCUUGAAACUUAAAGAAUUUGGCGGUAUUUUAGUCUAUUCAGAGGAACCUGUCCUGUAAUCGAUAGUCCACGUUGAAUCUUACUUAAAUUUGUUUAUCAAUUUGUAUAUCGCCGUUAUCAGAAUAUUUUAUAAGAAUAAUAAUUUUCUAAAUUUUUAAUUAAAUAAUGAUGUCAGGUCAAGGUGCAGUUUAUGUUUAAGUAGAGAUGGGUUACAAUAAAUAUAUUUAAUACGGAAUUGAAAUUGAAAUAUUUCAUGGAAGGUGGAUUUGAUAGUAAAAUUAUGAAUAUAAUUAAUUUGAUUAUAGCUCUAAAAUAUGCACAUAUCGCCCGUCGCUCUUAUUAUUAAGAUAAGAUAAGUCGUAACAUAGUAGAUGUACUGGAAAGUGUAUCUAGAAUGA
rnacentral:ncRNA from 1 species